CCUACGGGUGGCAGCAGUCGAGAAUCAUUCACAAUGGGGGAAACCCUGAUGGUGCGACGCCGCGUGGGGGAAUGAAGGUCUUCGGAUUGUAAACCCCUGUCAUGUGGGGGCAAAUUAAAAAGAUAGUACCACAAGAGGAAUAGACGGCUAAGUCUGUGCCAGCAGCCGCGGUAAUACAGAGGUCUCAAGCGUUGUUCGGAAUCACUGGGCGUAAAGCGUGCGUAGGCUGUUUCGUAAGUCGUGUGUGAAAGGCGCGGGCUCAACCCGCGGACGGCACAUGAUACUGCGAGACUAGAGUGAUGGAGGGGGAACCGGAAUUCGUGGUGUAGCAGUGAAAUGCGUAGAUAUCGAGAGGAACACUCGUGGCGAAGGCAGGUUCCUGGACAUUAACUGACGCUGAGGCACGAAGGCCAGGGGAGCGAAAGGGAUUAGAUACCCGGGUAGUC
rnacentral:rRNA from 1 species